GACGUAGGGCGCAAGCGUUGUCCGGAUUUAUUGGGCGUAAAGAGCUCGUAGGCGGCUUGUCGCGUCAGCUGUGAAAACUUGGGGCUUAACUCCAAGCUUGCGGUCGAUACGGGCAGACUUGAGUUCGGCAGGGGAGACUGGAAUUCCUGGUGUAGCGGUGAAAUGCGCAGAUAUCAGGAGGAACACCGGUGGCGAAGGCGGGUCUCUGGGCCGACACUGACGCUGAGGAGCGAAAGCGUGGGGAGCGAACAGG
rnacentral:rRNA from 1 species